rnacentral:misc_RNA from 1 species
UCCGGCUUAUCACCGGCAGUUUCCUUAGAGUUCCCGACCGAAUCGCUGGUAACUAAGGAUGAGGGUUGCGCUCGUUGCGGGACUUAACCCAACAUCUCACGACACGAGCUGACGACAGCCAUGCAACACCUGUGUUCGAUCCAACUAAAUGCGAGGUUAGUCUCCUAUCCUCUCUAUCGACAUGUCAAGGCCUGGUAAGGUUUUUCGCGUAGCAUCGAAUUAAACCACAUGCUCCACCGCUUGUGCGGGUCCCCGUCAAUUCCUUUGAGUUUUAAUCUUGCGACCGUACUCCCCAGGCGGGAUGCUUAACGCGUUAACUACAACACCGACCCAUAAAGGGCCGACAUCCAGCAUCCAUCGUUUACGGUGUGGACUAC